AUUUUUGGUGUCUUCAUCCUAUUCUACAAAUGGCUUCUUUCUUCAGUCCUUCUUUAAUUUAUAUUAUCGUAUUUUAGCCACGUGGGUCUUUCCCUCAUCUUUGGCCUUGCGGUGAGUCCAGUAGCUGUUUUCCUGCAAAUGGCAAGUGUAUUUUCAAGGCCUAAGCUUUAAAUUGCUGUUCUGGCAAAAAAAAAAAAAAAAAAAAAAUUCCUCUCACGCCCUUGACACAAAAACAACAAUGUGAACAAUGGGAGCUGGCUGGAGCCAGCAUGACGCUGGAGCACACUGCAUGCAAGGAGGUUGAAGAGGGAAAAAAAAAAAAAACCACAUGCAGUGGAGGGAGGAUGUUCAGCAGACUAUUUGCAUCAGAGUUUCAGAACCCACACAAUAAAAAUGAAAGUGCAGAACGUGGGCCAGCUGCCUGCGAUAAGAUCUUAUUGUUGGAAAGGGGAGCAACGUACCAUCUCCAAACUCGCUGGGCAGGGAGCAAAAGUACAGCAUGAAAUGAAUGGGACAUUGACAGGACUGGCCCUCUGUGGUUUAGCACCACAAGCGCUGGUGGUCGCUGCGUGGACCCGCGUGCAGAGGUUGGUGGAUGCGGUGGAUCGGGAUUAUCGCAGGGGCUGUAUGUGCUGAUUGGGCACCUUUAGCAGAGCUGCUUAAAAAUUACUCUCCUGUGCUCAGAAUUCAAUGUGAGAUGUUUUUUUUUCUGAGUGGUGAUGCUGGUCUUGGAUUUUUUUAUUAUUGUUUUUAAUUUUUGUGAGCUGUUCAGCUAUUACUGAUGCACACCAUUGAGUAGAUAUAUAUUUGUGAGAGCCCACCUAAGCCACAAGUCUGGUGGCUAAAAGAGAGACCAAGAAGUCGAGUUUCAGAUUUUAUCAAUGCAAGGGAGAAUCUGAGCCCUAGCUAUUCUGUGGGUAAUGGGUGGGGAUUGUGGCCCACAGAUUAUUUAGGACAUUUGUUCCCCCUGUUUACUAACGCUUGAGCUGAAGUAGGUACAUCCUGUAAAAAAACAUUACUGAGAUGGUGUUUCCUGGGGUUUUAGCAAGUAAAACCUUCCACACAUGGCUGCAUUUUGAGAGAAUUGGCUGGUUUUCUUUCUUUAACUGUAGCUCUGUUUUAAAAAAUAAACUUUCAUAGAAGAAGGCUAAUCUUUACA
rnacentral:lncRNA from 1 species